rnacentral:rRNA from 1 species
UACAGAGGUCCCGAGCGUUGUUCGGAUUCACUGGGCGUAAAGGGUGCGUAGGUGGUGACGUAAGUCGGAUGUGAAAUCUCGGAGCUCAACUCCGAAACGGCAUUGGAAACUGCGUUGCUAGAGGUUUGGAGGGGGGACUGGAAUGCUUGGUGUAGCAGUGAAAUGCGCAGAUAUCAGGAGGAACACCGGUGGCGAAGGCGGGUCUCUGGGCCGAUAUUGACGCUGAGGAGCGAAAGCGUGGGGAGCAAACAGG